rnacentral:rRNA from 1 species
CCUACGGGAGGCAGCAGUGGGGAAUAUUGGGCAAUGGAGGAAACUCUGACCCAGCGACGCCGCGUGCGGGAUGAAGGCCUUCGGGUUGUAAACCGCUUUCAGUAGGGAAGAAGCGAAAGUGACGGUACCUACAGAAGAAGCACCGGCUAACUAUGUGCCAGCAGCCGCGGUAAUACAUAGGGUGCAAGCGUUGUCCGGAAUUAUUGGGCGUAAAGAGCUCGUAGGUGGUUCGUCACGUCGGAUGUGAAAAUCUGGGGCUCAACCCCAGACCUGCAUUCGAUACGGGCGAUCUAGAGUGUGGUAGGGGAGACUGGAAUUCCUGGUGUAGCGGUGGAAUGCGCAGAUAUCAGGAGGAACACCAAUGGCGAAGGCAGGUCUCUGGGCCAUUACUGACACUGAGGAGCGAAAGCGUGGGGAGCGAACAGGAUUAGAUACCCUGGUAGUCCACGCCGUAAACGGUGGGCACUAGUUNUGGGAACCUUCCACGGUUUCUGCGACGCAGCUAACGCAUUAAGUGCCCGCCAGGGGAUACGAUCGCAAGNUUAAAACUCAAAGAUAGAGCGUGAGAGNGCGACGACGACGACGAGGAGGAGG